rnacentral:rRNA from 1 species
GAUGAACGCUGGCGGCGUGCUUAACACAUGCAAGUCGAGCGAAGCACUUAUCAUUGACUCUUCGGAAGAUUUGAUAUUUGACUGAGCGGCGGACGGGUGAGUAACGCGUGGGUAACCUGCCUCAUACAGGGGAAUAACAGUUAGAAAUGGCUGCUAAUGCCGCAUAAGCGCACAGGACCGCAUGGUCUGGUGUGAAAAACUGAGGUGGUAUGAGAUGGACCCGCGUCUGAUUGGGUAGUUGGUGGGGUAACGGCCUACCAAGCCGACGAUCAGUAGCCGGCCUGAGAGGGUGAACGGCCACAUUGGGACUGAGACACGGCCCAGACUCCUACGGGAGGCAGCAGUGGGGAAUAUUGCACAAUGGGGGAAACCCUGAUGCAGCGACGCCGCGUGAAGGAAGAAGUAUCUCGGUAUGUAAACUUCUAUCAGCAGGGAAGAAAAUGACGGUACCUGACUA